UACGUAGGGUGCAAGCGUUAAUCGGAAUUACUGGGCGUAAAGCGCACGCAGGCGGUCUUUUAAGUUUUGAGUGACAGGCGAGGGCUUAACCCUGGCAGGCCUUGGAAAACUGGAAGACUUGAGGGCGAGAGAGGGAUGCGGAAUUCCAGGUGGAGCGGUGAAAUGCGUAGAGAUCUGGAAGAACACCGAAGGCGAAGGCAGCAUCCUGGAGCGUUACUGACGCUGAUGUGCGAAAGCUAGGGGAGCGAACGGG
rnacentral:rRNA from 1 species